GCCGCGUGCAGGAUGACGGUCCUAUGGAUUGUAAACUGCUUUUAUACAGGAAGAAACCCCUCUACGUGUAGAGGCUUGACGGUACUGUAAGAAUAAGGAUCGGCUAACUCCGUGCCAGCAGCCGCGGUAAUACGGAGGAUCCAAGCGUUAUCCGGAAUCAUUGGGUUUAAAGGGUCCGUAGGCGGUCAAGUAAGUCAGUGGUGAAAGCCCAUCGCUCAACGGUGGAACGGCCAUUGAUACUGCUUGACUUGAAUUAUUAGGAAGUAACUAGAAUAUGUAGUGUAGCGGUGAAAUGCUUAGAGAUUACAUGGAAUACCAAUUGCGAAGGCAGGUUACUACUAAUUAAUUGACGCUGAGGGACGAAAGCGUGGGUAGCGAACAGGAUUAGAUACCCUGGUAGUCCACGCCGUAAACGAUGGAUACUAGCUGUUGGGCGCAAGUUCAGUGGCUAA
rnacentral:rRNA from 1 species